rnacentral:rRNA from 1 species
AAAUUGAAGAGUUUGAUCAUGGCUCAGAUUGAACGCUGGCGGCAGGCCUAACACAUGCAAGUCGAACGGUAACAGGAAGCAGCUUGCUGCUUUGCUGACGAGUGGCGGACGGGUGAGUAAUGUCUGGGAAACUGCCUGAUGGAGGGGGAUAACUACUGGAAACGGUGGCUAAUACCGCAUAACGUCGCAAGACCAAAGAGGGGGACCUUCGGGCCUCUUGCCAUCAGAUGUGCCCAGAUGGGAUUAGCUUGUUGGUGAGGUAACGGCUCACCAAGGCGACGAUCCCUAGCUGGUCUGAGAGGAUGACCAGCCACACUGGAACUGAGACACGGUCCAGACUCCUACGGGAGGCAGCAGUGGGGAAUAUUGCACAAUGGGCGCAAGCCUGAUGCAGCCAUGCCGCGUGUAUGAAGAAGGCCUUCGGGUUGUAAAGUACUUUCAGCGGGGAGGAAGGUGUUGUCGUUAAUAACCACAGCAAUUGACGUUACCC